rnacentral:rRNA from 1 species
UGCCAGCCGCCGCGGUAAUACAGAGGGUGCGUGCGUUAAUCGGAAUUACUGGGCGUAAAGGGCGCGUAGGCGGCCUGAUAAGUCGGAUGUGAAAGCCCCAGGCUUAACCUGGGAAUUGCAUUCGAUACUGUCAAGCUAGAGUAUGGCAGAGGAAAGCGGAAUUCCGAGUGUAGGAGUGAAAUCCGUAGAUAUUCGGAGGAACACCAGUGGCGAAGGCGGCUUUCUGGACCAAUACUGACGCUGAGAUGCGAAAGCGUGGGGAGCGAACAGGAUUAGCUA